rnacentral:rRNA from 1 species
GAAUGCUGACAUAAGUAACGAUAAAGCGGGUGAAAAGCCCGCUCGCCGGAAGACCAAGGGUUCCUGUCCAACGUUAAUCGGGGCAGGGUGAGUCGACCCCUAAGGCGAGGCCGAAAGGCGUAGUCGAUGGGAAACAGGUUAAUAUUCCUGUACUUGGUGUUACUGCGAAGGGGGGACGGAGAAGGCUAUGUUGGCCGGGCGACGGUUGUCCCGGUUUAAGCGUGUAGGCUGAUUUUCCAGGCAAAUCCGGAAAAUCAAGGCUGAGGCGUGAUGACGAGGCACUACGGUGCUGAAGCAACAAAUGCCCUGCUUCCAGGAAAAGCCUCUAAGCAUCAGGUAACAUCAAAUCGUACCCCAAACCGACACAGGUGGUCAGGUAGAGAAUACCAAGGCGCUUGAGAGAACUCGGGUGAAGGAACUAGGCAAAAUGGUGCCGUAACUUCGGGAGAAGGCACGCUGAUAUGUAGGUGAAGCGACUUGCUCGUGGAGCUGAAAUCAGUCGAAGAUACCAGCUGGCUGCAACUGUUUAUUAAAAACACAGCACUGUGCAAACACGAAAGUGGACGUAUACGGUGUGACGCCUGCCCGGUGCCGGAAGGUUAAUUGAUGGGGUUAGCGGUAACGCGAAGCUCUUGAUCGAAGCCCCGGUAAACGGCGGCCGUAACUAUAACGGUCCUAAGGUAGCGAAAUUCCUUGUCGGGUAAGUUCCGACCUGCACGAAUGGCGUAAUGAUGGCCAGGCUGUCUCCACCCGAGACUCAGUGAAAUUGAACUCGCUGUGAAGAUGCAGUGUACCCGCGGCAAGACGGAAAGACCCCGUGAACCUUUACUAUAGCUUGACACUGAACAUUGAGCCUUGAUGUGUAGGAUAGGUGGGAGGCUUUGAAGUGUGGACGCCAGUCUGCAUGGAGCCGACCUUGAAAUACCACCCUUUAAUGUUUGAUGUUCUAACGUUGGCCCCUGAUCGGGGUUGCGGACAGUGUCUGGUGGGUAGUUUGACUGGGGCGGUCUCCUCCUAAAGAGUAACGGAGGAGCACGAAGGUUGGCUAAUCCUGGUCGGACAUCAGGAGGUUAGUGCAAUGGCAUAAGCCAGCUUGACUGCGAGCGUGACGGCGCGAGCAGGUGCGAAAGCAGGUCAUAGUGAUCCGGUGGUUCUGAAUGGAAGGGCCAUCGCUCAACGGAUAAAAGGUACUCCGGGGAUAACAGGCUGAUACCGCCCAAGAGUUCAUAUCGACGGCGGUGUUUGGCACCUCGAUGUCGGCUCAUCACAUCCUGGGGCUGAAGUAGGUCCCAAGGGUAUGGCUGUUCGCCAUUUAAAGUGGUACGCGAGCUGGGUUUAGAACGUCGUGAGACAGUUCGGUCCCUAUCUGCCGUGGGCGCUGGAGAACUGAGGGGGGCUGCUCCUAGUACGAGAGGACCGGAGUGGACGCAUCACUGGUGUUCGGGUUGUCAUGCCAAUGGCACUGCCCGGUAGCUAAAUGCGGAAGAGAUAAGUGCUGAAAGCAUCUAAGCACGAAACUUGCCCCGAGAUGAGUUCUCCCUGACUCCUUGAGAGUCCUGAAGGAACGUUGAAGACGACGACGUUGAUAGGCCGGGUGUGUAAGCGCAGCGAUGCGUUGAGCUAACCGGUACUAAUGAACCGUGAGG